rnacentral:rRNA from 1 species
GCGUAAAGCGUGCGUAGGCGGCUUAUUAAGUCGGAUGUGAAAUCCCCGAGCUUAACUUGGGAAUUGCAUUCGAUACUGGUGAGCUAGAGUAUGGGAGAGAUGGUAGAAUUCCAGGUGUAGCGGUGAAAUGCGUAGAGAUCUGGAGGAAUACCGAUGGCGAAGGCAGCCAUCUGGCCUAAUACUGACGCUGAGGUGCGAAAGCAUGGGGAGCAAACAGGAUUAGAUACCCUGGUAGUCCAUGCCGUAAACGAUGUCUACUAGCCGUUGGGGCCUUUGAGGCUUUAGUGGCGCAGC